rnacentral:rRNA from 1 species
AUUGAACGCUGGCGGCAGGCCUAACACAUGCAAGUCGAACGAGUGGCGGACGGGUGAGUAAUGUCUGGGAAACUGCCUGAUGGAGGGGGAUAACUCCUGGAAACGGUAGCCAAUACCGCAUACCAUCGGAUGUGCCCAGAAGGGAUUAGCUAGUAGGUGGGGUAAAGGCGAACCUAGGCAACAAUCCCUAGCUGGUCUGUGAGGAGUACCGGCCACACUGGAACUGAGACACGGACCAGACUCCUACGGGAGGCAGCAGUAGGGAAUAUUGCACAAUGGGCGGAAGCCUGAUGCAGCCAUGCCGCGUGUAUGAAGAAGGCCUUCGGAUUGUAAAGUACUUUCAGCGGGGAGGCGUUACCCGCAGAGGAAGCCCCGGCUAACUCCGUGCCAGCAGCCGCGGUAAUAC